GUCCUAAAAAAGAUGUAUCUGUUAAGGAGUUUUCUGUUAACGUAACGACGGGUGAUCUUGUCAUCACUUUUUCUCCUUUGAGUGAUUCAUUUGCUUAUGUAAAUGCUUUGGAAGUUGUCUCUGCACCUGAUAGUCUUAUAACUGAUGAUGCCUCGACGUUUGGUCCAUCUGGGGUGUUUAGUGGUAUGUAUGCACAAGCACUUGAAACAGUUGCUAGAGUGAAU
rnacentral:misc_RNA from 1 species